UACGAAGGGGGGCUAGCGUUGCUCGGAAUCACUGGGCGUAAAGCGCACGUAGGCGGAUCUUUAAGUCAGGGGUGAAAUCCCAAGGCUCAACCUUGGAACUGCCUUUGAUACUGGGGAUCUCGAGUCCGGAAGAGGUGAGUGGAACUGCGAGUGUAGAGGUGAAAUUCGUAGAUAUUCGCAAGAACACCAGUGGCGAAGGCGGCUCACUGGUCCGGUACUGACGCUGAGGUGCGAAAGCGUGGGGAGCAAACAGG
rnacentral:rRNA from 1 species